UACGUAGGGGGGCGAGCGUUGUCCGGAAUUAUUGGGCGUAAAGAGCUCGUAGGCGGUUCGGCAAGUCACGUGUGAAAUCUUCACGCUCAACGUGGAGGCGCCACGUGAGACUGCUGUGACUCGAGUCCGGUAGGGGAGCGUGGAAUUCCCGGUGUAGCGGUGAAAUGCGCAGAUAUCGGGAGGAACACCAGUGGCGAAGGCGGCACUCUGGGCCAGUACUGACACUGAGGAGCGAAAGCGUGGGGAGCGAACAGG
rnacentral:rRNA from 1 species